rnacentral:rRNA from 1 species
GCGCACGGGUGAGUAACGCGUAUCCAACCUACCCAUUAUAGGGGGAUAACCUUGCGAAAGUAAGACUAAUACCCCAUGGUAUUUUAUGAUGGCAUCAUUAUAGGAUUAAAGAUUUAUUGGUAAUGGAUGGGGAUGCGUCUGAUUAGCUUGUUGGCGGGGUAACGGCCCACCAAGGCAACGAUCAGUAGGGGUUCUGAGAGGAAGGUCCCCCACAUUGGAACUGAGACACGGUCCAAACUCC